UAGGGAAUCUUCCACAAUGGACGCAAGUCUGAUGGAGCAACGCCGCGUGAGUGAAGAAGGUUUUCGGAUCGUAAAGCUCUGUUGUUGGUGAAGAGGGAUAGAGGCAGUAACUGGCCUUUAUUUGACGGUAAUCAACCAGAAAGUCACGGCUAACUACGUGCCAGCAGCCGCGGUAAUACGUAGGUGGCAAGCGUUGUCCGGAUUUAUUGGGCGUAAAGCGAGCGCAGGCGGAAGAAUAAGUCUGAUGUGAAAGCCCUCGGCUUAACCGAGGAACUGCAUCGGAAACUGUUUUCUUGAGUGCAGAAGAGGAGAGUGGAACUCCAUGUGUAGCGGUGGAAUGCGUAGAUAUAUGGAAGAACACCAGUGGCGAAGGCGACUCUCUGGUCUGCAACUGACGCUGAGGCUCGAAAGCAUGGGUAGCGAACAGGAUUAGAUACCCUGGUAGUCCAUGCCGUAAACGAUGAGUGCUAAGUGUUGGGAGGUUUCCGCCUCUCAGUGCUGCAGCUAACGCAUUAAGCACUCCGCCUGGGGGAGUACGACCGCAAGGUUGAAACUCUAAA
rnacentral:rRNA from 1 species